GACGAACGCUGGCGGCGUGCUUAACACAUGCAAGUCGAACGGAAAGGCCCCUUUGGGGGUACUCGAGUGGCGAACGGGUGAGUAACACGUGAGUAACCUGCCCUUGACUUCGGGAUAACUUCAGGAAACUGGGGCUAAUACCGGAUAGGAAUCCUUGCUGCAUGGUGGGGGUUGGAAAGCUUCGGCGGUUUUGGAUGGACUCGCGGCUUAUCAGCUUGUUGGUGGGGUAGUGGCUUACCAAGGCUUUGACGGGUAGCCGGCCUGAGAGGGCGACCGGCCACAUUGGGACUGAGAUACGGCCCAGACUCCUACGGGAGGCAGCAGUGGGGAAUAUUGCACAAUGGGCGGAAGCCUGAUGCAGCAACGCCGCGUGCGGGAUGACGGCCUUCGGGUUGUAAACCUCUUUCAGCAGGGGCGAAGCUUGUGGUGACGGUACCUGCAGAAGAAGCACCGGCUAACUACGUG
rnacentral:rRNA from 1 species